rnacentral:rRNA from 1 species
UACGUAGGGGGCAAGCGUUGUCCGGAUUUAUUGGGCGUAAAGAGCGUGUAGGCGGCCCGACAGGUCCGUUGUGAAAACUCGAGGCUCAACCUCGAGACGUCGAUGGAAACCGUCGGGCUAGAGUCCGGAAGAGGAGAGUGGAAUUCCUGGUGUAGCGGUGAAAUGCGCAGAUAUCAGGAAGAACACCAAUGGCGAAAGCAGCUCUCUGGGACGGUACUGACGCUGAGACGCGAAAGCGUGGGGAGCGAACAGG